UCGUGCUGAGCGGUUGGUGCGGCAUACAUCGAUUUGCCUUUGGUUUACUUUGCUUUGCGAUUCGAUCGUUCCGAUUAUAUUGUGUGUGGUGUGCGACGAUCCAGUGAGUUUGCUAUAGUAUCGCACUGUUCGUUGUUGUCGGUCGCCGUUGUUGGUAGAGUCACGCGUUUUUUUUUAGCGUUACGUUAAUUUAAAUAGAACAGAACAAGUUACAAAAAUUUGCAAACCCAUUUGCAUAAUUUAUUGCCGGAAAAAAACCACUGAGUGAAAAAAUAAACUGUGUGUGUGCUAACUAACGUAUACUACAUGCUUACAUACUAACAUACAUACAUACGUAUAUUAAUGUGAACAUACUGUGUGGAUUAAUAAAAGCUCAAUUAAGGCAAUAAAACUCGCUCAAAAAAAAAGAAAUAAAUAUAACUAAAUUGAGUGAGGCAAUGAAAAGCGUUUAAAAAUUAAUAAUAAUAAUAUUUUCCUAUUUAAUAAGUAAUUAAAGUAAAAAAGACUAGAAAACUAACCAUUGUGACACACAGCAAAAACAACAAAAAUUGUGCUUAAGCAGUUUUAGCUGAGGGAAAACAGCAAAUAUUCGUGUUUAACAACAUCGUACAUACAUACAUACUACCGUGAGAAGGGACUCCGAUCGCUGACGACUGGACAUAACUUCUGAAUGCACUUCGAUCUUUUCUUAAUCGAAAA